AAAACACAUGUGUGAUGAUGAAUGUGCGAAAUAUUUUCCACAUUUUGCUAGCCAGUCGGGUUAGUUAUGCCUGAAAGUCACUUGCCCACAAAUAAUUCACUAGAUUGAGUUGCUAGUAUGAUGAAUGAUUUAUCGGGCCAUAAUCUUGCAUGACUUAAAAGUGUAUUCUAACUUAACAAGUCGGAGAGA